rnacentral:rRNA from 1 species
AGUGAACGCUGGCGGUAGGCCUAACACAUGCAAGUCGAACGGCAGCACAGUAAGAGCUUGCUCUUACGGGUGGCGAGUGGCGGACGGGUGAGGAAUACAUCGGAAUCUACUUUUUCGUGGGGGAUAACGUAGGGAAACUUACGCUAAUACCGCAUACGACCUACGGGUGAAAGCAGGGGAUCUUCGGACCUUGCGCGGUUGAAUGAGCCGAUGUCGGAUUAGCUAGUUGGCGGGGUAAAGGCCCACCAAGGCGACGAUCCGUAGCUGGUCUGAGAGGAUGAUCAGCCACACUGGAACUGAGACACGGUCCAGACUCCUACGGGAGGCAGCAGUGGGGAAUAUUGGACAAUGGGCGCAAGCCUGAUACAGCCAGACCGCGUGGGUGAAGAAGGCCUUCGGGUUGUAAAGCCCUUUUGUUGGGAAAGAAAAGCAGCAGGUUAAUACCCCGCUGUUCUGACGGUACCCAAAGAAUAAGCACCGGCUAACUUCGUG